rnacentral:rRNA from 1 species
UUUAAUGGAGAGUUUGAUCCUGGCUCAGGACGAACGCUGGCGGCGUGCCUAAUACAUGCAAGUCGAGCGGACCCUUCGGGGUUAGCGGCGGACGGGUGAGUAACACGUAGGUAACCUGCCUGUAAGACUGGGAUAACUACCGGAAACGGUAGCUAAGACCGGAUAAAUGAUUC